rnacentral:rRNA from 1 species
UGGCGGCAGGCUUAACACAUGCAAGUCGAGCGGUAGCACAGGGGAGCUUGCUCCCUGGGUGACGAGCGGCGGACGGGUGAGUAAUGUCUGGGAAACUGCCUGAUGGAGGGGGAUAACUACUGGAAACGGUAGCUAAUACCGCAUAACGUCGCAAGACCAAAGAGGGGGACCUUCGGGCCUCUUGCCAUCAGAUGUGCCCAGAUGGGAUUAGCUAGUAGGUGGGGUAAUGGCUCACCUAGGCGACGAUCCCUAGCUGGUCUGAGAGGAUGACCAGCCACACUGGAACUGAGACACGGUCCAGACUCCUACGGGAGGCAGCAGUGGGGAAUAUUGCACAAUGGGCGCAAGCCUGAUGCAGCCAUGCCGCGUGUGUGAAGAAGGCCUUCGGGUUGUAAAGCACUUUCAGCGAGGAGGAAGGUGGUGAACUUAAUACGUUCAUCAAUUGACGUUACUCGCAGAAGAAGCACCGGCUAACUCCGUGCCAGCAGCCGCGGUAAUACGGAGGGUGCAAGCGUUAAUCGGAAUUACUGGGCGUAAAGCGCACGCAGGCGGUUUGUUAAGUCAGAUGUGAAAUCCCCGGGCUCAA